rnacentral:rRNA from 1 species
GAUGAACGCUGGCGGCGUGCCCAAUACAUGCAAGUCGAGCGAACAGACGAGGAGCUUGCUCCUUUGACGUUAGCGGCGGACGGGUGAGUAACACGUAGGUAACCUACCUAUAAGACUGGGAUAACUUCGGGAAACCGGAGCUAAUACCGGAUAAUAUUUCGAACCGCAUGGUUCGAUAGUGAAAGAUGGCUUUGCUAUCACUUAUAGAUGGACCUGCGCCGUAUUAGCUAGUUGGUAAGGUAACGGCUUACCAAGGCAACGAUACGUAGCCGACCUGAGAGGGUGAUCGGCCACACUGGAACUGAGACACGGUCCAGACUCCUACGGGAGGCAGCAGUAGGGAAUCUUCCGCAAUGGGCGAAAGCCUGACGGAGCAACGCCGCGUGAGUGAUGAAGGUCUUCGGAUCGUAAAACUCUGUUAUUAGGGAAGAACAAACGUGUAAGUAACUGUGCACGUCUUGACGGUACCUAAUCAGAAAGCCACGGCUAACUACGUG